rfam:Daphnia magna strain Xinb3 scaffold00389, whole genome shotgun sequence.
UGUCUAAUAGCUCAAUGGAAGAGCACUGGAUUGGAAUACUGUAUACCUUGGGUUCGAAUCCCAUUCAGAUGU